CUAGAAAGCGCCCUCCAGUGCCUGCUCAUAGAAUGCGCCCUCCAGUGCCCCCUCCUCAAAUAUCUGCCCUCCCACCUGCUCCAGCCUCCUCCACUGCUGUCGCCUGGCAGCCCCUCUGCUUACCCUCAGCCCUCCAUCAUAGGAACCACCAGCACAAACAGAUAAAGUUACCUUACAAAGAUAGCCAUCUGUCUUGUUUACAUUGUGCAUACCACUUUUUUCUGAUUCAAACAUAUAUGGGUUAAUUAAAACAAUAUUUCAGUAUACAGUCUAUGAUCAGGAGGCGCUGGUCGGUGUGACUGAGUGGAGGCAGGGAUAAUUUGCAUAUUCAUAGAUCCGUGUAGAGUAAAUGAAGAAAGGGUGCAGAGUUUCAUUCAAGCUAUUUUGAGGCAUGAGAAUUUUCAAAAGAAAAACAUUUAAAUAUGUCAUUUUGAUGAUCAAAGAUGAGUUUUAAGGGUUACAUGUUUUGACUACGGGGGACUUUAAAGUUCUUUGCCAUCCUAAUAAGAGCGCUGCAUAUGGAGCAGCAAGAAUUUCUAAUAUUGGUGUUUGGGCACUUUAUAGUGGUUUGUUCAAACAACACCAUUAUUGUGAUUGGAGUGUGGAAUGUUAGAAAUAACCAUAAUUUAUAGCAGUAAUUAAUUUACUGCUAAGAGCCACAAAUGCAGAAUAAACUGUGAGCUGUAAUGUACUUAAUCGAGUAUCGUUACUGAAACUAAACAGAUGCCUGAUUUUAAGUGCCUAUGCGCAGUGGUCGUGCGAAUGGCUGGAGCCACGCGCAUCUGUAGACUAGCACAGAUUAAUUAUCACACUUUAAUAGUAUUUAUAUCUCCUAACAGGCUUGUGACUGAGGAAUAAUGACUACUUCAAAAUAUAAGUUGGUAUGCAGUUUUCCCUAUUGGUGUACGGCCUGAGAAUUGUCCCGCAAACAUUUCAGCAGUAUCAUAUGCAUCUCGUAUUUCUGUCAACUGAACCAGCCAUGCCAUUAAUUAUGAAUUUAUCAGUCUUUUUAAUUGGUGCUUUCACAAUCGAUUCGCAUUCGUUCGAACUGCUCUCUCACUGUUUCUCCGUUAGCACCAUCUCAUAUCAGUAGCAAGAUUGUCUGCACGCCAAAGUCAAUUUCUGCGUCUAAAUAUUAGGCCGAACAGAAACAGAAAAUCAUGCUAUAGCCCACGCACUUUCAUGAGAUCUGGAAAGCCUUCAACAAUUAAUUUGUAUUUUACAAAUAGGAAUACAACAAAUUCAUGAUGAUGUUUUAGAUUCAAGCUACCCGUAUGAAGUUAUUUAAAAUCAUCUGGAAUGCAAGUAUUUUUAAAGCUGUUUUUUAAAGCAUUUGCUGCAUUGAUUAAAAAUAUUAGGCUAAUAAAUAAUUCACAUAUCAGACAUUUGCGUAGCAGCAAAUUAUUUAAAUUUUAUGGUAUUCAGCAACAAAAAUCUGAAAUUAUAAGCAGCUAUACAAUUAUAGUACAAAGUUUUACAUAUGCCAUUAUAAUUUGUGGUUUAUUUUAUAAUUUGAUACAAUGAUAUUUGUUUAGGACUAUUUAUUUUAUUCCUUUUUAUACAUGUUGUUUUACUUUGUUUUUCUCCCUAUAGAAGCGCUGCAGGUGCGUAAUGUGUGAAUCCUUAUAGUUCUGGGCUGCGUUUCCCGAUAAAGCGGUCUUUUAGCGUACUAUAAGGCUCUUAAGUAUGCCUUAACUAAAAGGUAUACCAUUUCUAGGAAUGUUCCUCGAACUACAGUAGUCAACAUUUGAAGUGGAUCAAAAAGUUCAGAGUUAUCAUAAGAGCCAAGUUAUCCUAAAAAGAAGGUUUCAUGACAACUUUGGUGAAUGGUUUUGAUCCACUUCAAACGCUGACUACUAUAUACCUUUGGAG
ensembl:lncRNA